rnacentral:rRNA from 1 species
UACAGAGGUCUCAAGCGUUGUUCGGAUUCAUUGGGCGUAAAGGGUGUGUAGGUGGCGCGCUAAGUCGGGUGUGAAAUUUCGGAGCUUAACUCCGAAACUGCAUUCGAUACUGGCGUGCUUGAGGACUGGAGAGGAGACUGGAAUUCAUGGUGUAGCAGUGAAAUGCGUAGAGAUCAUGAGGAAGACCAGUGGCGAAGGCGAAUCCCUGGAAAAUACCUGACACUGAGGCACGAAAGCUAGGGGAGCAAACAGG